AAUGAACGCUGGCGGCAUGCCUUACACAUGCAAGUCGAACGGCAGCAUGACCUAGCUUGCUAGGUUGAUGGCGAGUGGCGAACGGGUGAGUAAUGCAUCGGAACGUGCCUUUUAGUGGGGGAUAACGUAGCGAAAGUUACGCUAAUACCGCAUAUUCUCUGAGGAGGAAAGCAGGGGACCUUCUGGCCUUUCGCUAGAAGAGCGGCCGAUGUCGGAUUAGCUAGUUGGUGAGGUAAAGGCUCACCAAGGCAACGAUCCGUAGCGGGUCUGAGAGGAUGAUCCGCCACACUGGGACUGAGACACGGCCCAGACUCCUACGGGAGGCAGCAGUGGGGAAUUUUGGACAAUGGGCGCAAGCCUGAUCCAGCCAUGCCGCGUGAGUGAAGAAGGCCUUCGGGUUGUAAAGCUCUUUCGGCUGGGAAGAAAUCGCACCCUCUAAUACAGGGUGUGGAUGACGGUACCAGCAGAAGAAGCACCGGCUAACUACGUG
rnacentral:rRNA from 1 species